UUUUAUAUGCAUGUAGUAGUUGAGACGGGUGUAUUUAUCCAAUAAAAAUUUAAUAUAUCAUAAAAUGUAGGUAAUUGUUAUAUAUAACAUAAAAGAUACAAAUGAUUCUCUGCCAUCUCUAAUCUCUAAGAAGUUACAAAUGAUAAAAUAUCUCUUUCAGUUACAAAUAGUCAACAGAAACAUCAAAAUCUUCUUAGCAAGCAAUCUUAUCCUGUUUCUUGGUUGUCUCAACCUUUCUCCCCAUAACAAGCCAUAGAAGAUGUUAUAUGAACAAACAGACCGAUCAUGAUGCACUUCCAUUUUUGAGAUCUUCCUUCACCUAAAUAUAGGGAAAAAAAAAAAGAAAGUCAUUUAAAAACAAAUAUAGGGAAAAAAAGAAAGUCAUUUAAAAACAAAUAAUGCUGCAUUAGGAAUUAUAUUUGGUCCCUAUUCAAUGACUGUCAUAAUUCACAACUUAGCGUAACUCACACAUUGAAGUGCAUUAGAGCAGCCUGAGGAAAAUGUCUUACCAACGAAAACAAACUCUCUUAUUGAAAGAAGAUUCACUUAUAGGUGUUAAUUAUUGGAGUCAACCUUGUGUUUUGUACAUAUCAAAAUUAUAAUGUAUAAUUAACAAGACAAAUAUUUUUUAAGGGAUUAUCAUGGCAAAUAUAAUUUUCUUUUUCUUGGUUAUAAUUUAUAAGGACUCAUGUUUGAUUGUCUAUAUAAUAUAAUUAGAGCCUGUAAUUUGUAACUUACCAAGCAAUCAUUACAUAUUCCUUAAAAAAAAAAUUCAAUCAUUAAAUAUUAAUAUGAAUAAAACUUUCAAGUGUAUCUACUAAAAAAAUUACUAAUCUAAACAAUACCUACUAUACAUAUUGUCAAUAGCGCUUAUCCAACUUGUGAUACUAUUACCAACUAAACAAACAAUGAGCCAAGUAAUGGGCGAUUUUCAACACACAUAAAUCACAUAAUUGAAGGUAAAACUUACUAUUAUUUGCCCACCACGUCCACCGGCAAUGUCAAUCAUUUUUAUGUAAAGACAUUCUUCUACCAUGUUAUAAACCUAGUAAUAUAAAAUCAACAUUAUUUAAAGCAAAAGCUCACCCAGAAUAUCCAUUGGAAGUAAAUAUAUUGAAGAUUUGCCUACUCAUAGUCAGCUACAUGAAUUUUAGAGUCUCUUAGCCUAGCCCCAAAUCUGACCUGCAAAAAAAAAAAAAAAAAAACUAAUUGCAUAUGUCUUUAAUAUUGCCUACAUAACAGCAACCAUGUGUGGCUAAAAUACCUUGCAUCUUCCUUCACAACCAAUUUUAUUAGCAUGUUUCUUUGAUGCAAUACACAAAGGUUUUUUACAAAGCCAGAGAAGUGAUCCUUAGUCCUUACAAUGCAGAGAAUUAAACAAAAAAAUAUCAAGGAUCGUCUCAAAGCUUAACUUGUAGCACUAACAUCAAACAUGUAUUUUAGGGUGCAAAAUCGAUGCCCAAACAGAUAAAUAAUCAUGAAGUUUUCGCUUAUAUAGAUGGGACACCAAAACACACAAUACAUAUACCUUUAAAUAAAAUAGACAUUCUGAAUUAUUGCCUAGAAAUAAAUUGUAUUUAUAAUUGUUCAAAUAUAUGCAAAGCCAUUGACAGUCUUAUAUUUUUUCCUUAACUUGCAACCACUUGAGUAAAUAGGAAUAAGUUACACAACUCCUUAAAGUACUUCAUUUCCUAAAUAAAAUAGACCCCAAAACUUAAAGUUAGAACAAUGAGAAAAAUAUGCUUUAUUAAUUAACAUAUGGAGAGAGCUAACCAACCAAUAAUCUAAAACUAAGUGUGGGUAGAAAUAACCAUUACAAAUUAAAAAGUUGACUGAAGCAAUUCCACAAACACUUGAUGGGCAUAAUACAAGCAGGAGAGUAGUUUGUGUUCUUAUAGACUCAAAUCAUAUAAUUCAUAACAGAAAAAAGUUCACAUCACAAUCACAAACUAACUUUUCUGCUAAAACAGGACAUUUAUCAUCAUAUUGUAUUACAAUCAAUUUGAUUUCAAACUUACCAAUCAAGGGAUGAAACAUAAAAGAACAAAAUCCAUUAGUUUUAGAGUUACCUACGCACACAAAGAAGACUUUCAUCGUCGUGGCCACAAGGAAUCGCACUGCUGCCGUCGGAGAAGAGCGGUGAACAGAGACGGUGGUGAACGACGAAGUUUGUGAAGGAUAGUGGUCGUGAACAGAGAUCACGAACGGAGGAGAUGCGUGAAAUCAUGAAAGGAACAGCGGCGAGAAAUCGUGAAUGAAGGAGGUUGAAUCGAAGAAAGGGUUUAUGGGUUUUUCAAGAUGAAUCGAAGAAAGGGUUUCUUGCAGAGUUGAAUCACAAAAGGGUCUUUGGAUUGUCUCAGGAGUAAAAUUUAUGCUAUUUUUAAUGAUUUUAAUAAAUACUCACUUUUCAUGAAAUAAGAUAAAAAAGAGAUUAGUUAAGAAUUUAAAAUACUAAAAAGCGAAAAUGGCUGAAGCCAGAAUCGAACAGGUGACCACUAGGUUCCAGCAACCUUAAAAAAAGGAAGAAAAAAAA
rnacentral:lncRNA from 1 species